GGGCGAGGGGACGUCACGCGACUCUGCGAGCUCCGCUGGCCGGUGCUCGGCGGCGGGGUCGAGCGGCGGUUGCUCAGAAGGGGUUGGGCCCACCAUUGCUCUGCGGCGGUGGGGACGUGGCUUCUGGGCCGCCAUUGCUCUGGUGGGGAGGUGGUCCACGUCGUCAGCGAUUUGGGAUGCUAAGGAAGUUACGGGUAUUGGAAACGUUGCCACAAAGGCCUGUAAACGAGCAUGGAGCGGUCACACUUUCAAGCUUUUGUCCACAACCAUGAGAUCAAGAACCUUACUAUUUUAAAUGAAAGCUGACAUUCUCAGGUAAGAAGGUGAGCCUAGCAUCUGGGACUUUUAAGAAAAACACCAAAUAUUGUGACUAACAAAAUUGUGAGAGUUAGCAAUACAGUCACUGCUUCCCUGGUUUAAAUGCUGUUGUUGCUAGCACUGUUGAGGUGGGAGUGUGGUCAGGGUGAUAAAGAACAUCCGUGAAACAUAAUUUAUUUCUUUGCUCAAAUUUUUUCCUUUGUUUCUCUGGUGAAAUUUUCUCAAGAGUCCAUUCUGGAGGAAGAAGGGGUUGUUCCUUAGAGCAACAGUGUUUCAUUCUCUGGGAUUUUACAAAUAUGAAGAAACCCAGUAAUAUCACAUAAACAACCUCACCAGUAAUAAAUGCUAUUGCUACAACAAUUUAUGGCAACACUUACAUCUGCAUGCUCUCUUUCACACAAAAUAUUUAGUGUCUCUAAAAAGUAAUCUUCAUAGUGCAUCUCAGUCAGUCUGCAAAGUAACAUGCGCCAAUGAGAUUGACAAGUUAUAAGUGUAUUUUUAUUUUCAGCGUCAUCAAUCCUGGAUUUGUACAAAUAAAACAAGAUCAUCUAUUUUUGAUGAUCAUGUAACAAGCCAUUCCAAUAAUAAAGGUCUCAAUUCAGGGCUUUUAGUCUACCUAGUUUAUUCCCUGUUCAGUGGGGAAAAAAUGAACCGAAAAGCCACAUUAAUGUACUCCUAGUAGGCAUAAUCCCUUUAGUUCCCUAUAUUACUGUAAGUGAACACAUCACCAGACUUUGUUUGUAUUCAAAUAUUUUCAGAGAGGGAAAAUCAUUCCAAGCUGAUCACAUCACAAGGCCAAAAAUUUCAGUAGACACCAUUUAAACCAUUACAAUAAAUAAAAGCAUUAUUUAUUAAUAAGAUUGUACUAUAAACACUUCAUUUAUAUUCAGAGAACUCUGGGUCCCUAAAGAAAUUUGCCUUUGAAUAUAAUACCCACAACAAACUUUGCAUAAGUAGAGUUAUGAUGUUAUAUCCGUAAUUUAAUUCAGAAAGAUGGAAAGUAGCCUGAGUGGGGCUGGAAAGCAUUACUAGUUUCUGUAAGAUCAAAUAAGAUUAUAAUUGAAUGGGAUGGAAAUGUAGCUCUGUAUAACAGUAACUCACCAAGACAGAGUAAGAAUACUGUGUCUUUUGAAUAACAUUCAUAUUUUAUUUAUUAUUGAUUACUUAUUUUACAUCAAAUCUACUUUUGAUUAGCAGGUAAUGCUGAACAGACUGUAGCAGCAAUAUGCACAUUGGAUACCUUGCUAUAUUUAAGAAUGCCAUACUUUACACCUGAGAGAAAUGCAUGCUUAAAGUUUUUAAAGGUUACUGGUACAAUGGAACCACUUGCCCAGUCCCCCAUCCCCUGGGUAGCUCAGGGAGCCAGCCGGGUGGGGAGCCAGCUGCCCAACUUCCCAGGUAGAUCAGUCAGCCCACCCACCCGCCAGGCAGGCAGCCUGGCCUCUGAGGAUCCAGGAUUCCUAGGCAACCCACCAGCCUGUUCCACCAACAAAUGUUCAGCCAGCUCUACCGAGGGCAGAGUUGACCCUAUAUUGGAACAUGGUUAACAGUUCUCAAAAACCAAAAUGGGAUCCAAAUCUGGCUUUCAGGUCUUGAUUUAGCAAGCUACUUAAGAAUGUGAUGAAUUCCAUCCCUAUUUAGGAAAGCACUUAAGCACAGACUGAAGUGUCACUGAAGUCAGUGGGAUUGCAGCAUGUAUUUAAGUGCUUUGCUGAAUUAGGACCUUGGACUCUUGUUGGCUGUUCAGGGCUACCAGGUGUCAAAAGUAGUAGAACAUGGCUAAAACAACUGCAGACUCAGGGCCAAAUUCUGCAUCAGUGUAACUGACUGGAGCAGUUACUUAUGAUGUCAGAAGAUGUGACUGAAUAAAGCCAGGGAACUGGUCUGCUGAGUAAGAAAAUGCCAUUUUUACAUACUUUUUCCUGUCCAUCAUUGCACGUUAAUGAUUAAGGCUAGGAUUUAGUCAUGGGUCCCCAGGACCGAUGCUCGGAUGCUCCCCAGGUCCAUUGCUGCAGCUGCCCCGGGACCGCCGUCACUGGGGUGCUCCUUGGGGCCAGCUGCAUCAGCCGCUGCAGCUGCAGACAUUCCAUGAACUCCAUGACAGAAUCGCAGCCUAAUUAAUGAUUUCACACUAUAAUGCUUCUCUUGUUGAAGUAGAUAGUCACCUUAGAGCUCCUCAGUAGGUGGGAAAAAAAAAAUCAAAAACCCUCUUUGAUGGGGAGUCCACCCCACAUGGUUAAUGGACAAUUAACCUUAUAGGGUGCACCUGUAGGAGAGUCAGGACCUGCUACAGCCUAGGCCAGGUCUACACUACAGACCUAUAUCAGUAUAACUAACAUUGCUUGAAGGUGUGAAAAAUCCACACCCCAAAUGAUGUAGUUAUAUUGACCUAAUCCACCCUGUAAACAGUGCUAUGUUGACAGGAGGGCUUCUGUUGACAUAGCUCUCAGAGAGGUGAAUUAACUAUACCGUUAGGAGACUCUCCCCCUUUCGUGUAGUUGUGUUUUCACUAAAAUGCUGCAGCAGUGCAGUACAUGAAGACACGUCCUAAUUGAAGAUGAAGCCUACCUGGGCAGGAGCAGGCAGGAGCUCGUAUAAAACCAACAAGGUGACAACAGUUGGGGGCUGCAGGUAGGAGCUCUGCAGUCACUCUCAAGAGAGAAGGGGAGUUAGCUAGGGUUGGAGGGAGAUAGUGGGCAGCCACUCUGAGCACAGAGAGGUGGCUAGGAGGAAACCCAGGGAGGGAAAGCCCUGGGAUCCUGUCCCUGACAGAAGGGUUUACCAGAGGAGUUGUGGGGAAGAAAGCUUGUGGAAAGCAGAGUAGGAAGAGCCCAGGGAAAGAGCAGCAAGGAGGAGACUCUGAAGACCUUGGCUAGAUGAUAGGGUCCCUGGGCUGGAACCUGAAGUAGCGGGCAGGCCUGGGUUCCCCUACCAGCCAUUGGGGAAGUGGUACAGACUGGGAAUUGUCAAGGAGGAUGGCCUGGGAUGGUGUACCAGUCCAGCAAGAUGAUACCCUGGAAGGGGAAAACUAUAUAUUGACAUGGCCAAAGGGCUGAAUCACAAAGAGAGAGCACCGUGAGCCCUGGAGAGCAAGAGGGACCAUGGGAUAAGUGAGCAACAGAAGCGGGAGCUAGACUGGAGGAAAGCUGAUCCCCAGACCCAGCACCCUCCACACAGUACUUCCUAUUCCAAGGGUAGUUUAGAUACUGUCAGUUUAACAGCAAUAAAAAUGGGGGUGAGUGUAUUGUUAAUACACUUUCAUAACUUUAAUUUAGUUUUAUGUGCUGUGCAAAUGGAGACUGCAUUCUGUUAUGCCUGUCACUGGUUUAUGGCCACUGGAACUACACUUUGGAAUCCAUUUUCGUCCCGAGACACAAAAAUUAAAUACGCUGGGCAGGGACAUCAGCUUGAGAAGAAUUAUGUAUUUAAAUAGUUGAGAGGUAUUUAAAUAGUUGAGUGAGACUAGUGCACUGGGUAAAUCCAGUCUGCUACAGUAGCUAAAUCUAGUGCCCUAGAUAAAACCCCUGCUUCUCUUUACAAGCAAAGCCUGUAAAUGUUUUGCACCAUUUCUUGCUUCUCUCUGUUAACUGUGUUAACUUAUUUAGCAUGUGGAUUGUGGUGGCUUUAUACAUUUGCUGCCAAAUAAGCUGAAAGAACUAAUCAGAUCACAGAGAAUUGCACAUGUUUAUGAAGCAGGCUCUCUCUAUUGAAUGCCCAGUAUAUAUGUAGUCAUUUAAGUGGGGCAAAAGGCCACUUUCUAAAGAUUUUGUUCAUAAGGGAACUGUUUUCCUUUGACGAGUACUUGAUCAGAUUAAGUACUGUGAACUAGGAGGUAAAGUAAUAUCUGUAAAAUCUGACUAACUACAGUAUUUGCAAGGCCAGUAUGGAGAACAUGUUAGUAGUGGUUCCAGACUAGUAAGAAUAAUAAAAACUUCUAAACUUUUCAAAGAACCAUGAUGUUUCUUAAAGGGAGUAACAACUGUCUGAAGUGUUUCACUACUACAGUGAUAGGUGCUAUGGAAUUCUACAGAGGGAUAGUAAUGUAUGUUGCUGGUGUAUACGAUACUGUCCUUGCUGUUUCCUGUAUGGCUUUGUUAACUGGAGGGCUGGCUGGCUGGAUCCUGUGUGUUUCAGGAUGUCCAGGAGUUUCUAUAUUGUGUCCUGGAUCUCCUCUAAAGAGAUUUGGAGCUCUUCUUCCACCCUCCAUAGCAGCUCCUGGAAUUGCUGUGGUUGUCCAGAGAAGACAGUGAAGCUGGGUCAGGAGAUGAGGAAGUUACCUUCAUCAGUAAGCAGCAGAACUAGCUCUUAUUCUUCCUCUUCUCUGAGCUCAGGAGAAAGUUCUAGUUGCUUUGUGAGGGGUGAUAUGACUCAGUAUUAGACACCACAGACUGAGUGUCACAUGUACAGGUCUCAUAAGCCCCAAAGGCUAGCUUGAGGGGUUGAAGAGAGUUGUGGAGGUCCCCAAGGCAUUGGUACUGCUGGAGCCAAAGGGGUAAUCCCAGUUGGAUGUGGCUGGUUUCAGAAAGCUCUUGAUCUCUUGUCUCAACUCAUCGCCCUUGGUGAAAGCAAUGAUGGUUCUUCCAGCACAUCUGAUUUUCCCAAUGACAAAAAAGUCAGAUUGGGCUCAAUAGGCAGUGCAGUCGUUCCUGUUGAAGGAACAGCUAGUAGACAGUAUGCAGGAUGGACUUCUCUUCUCAUAGCCCAUUGUCUCCUGACACUCAAAAAACCACCAAAAACCCUGGUGAGGAUUGAGGGGAUCUGGACUGGGGCUCUGUGGAUCUGGGAGAACACAGAUGUUCUCUAGAGUGGUGUACCUUUCUGCUUGCCUAACUCUGGUGGGACAAGCAGCGUGGGAAGGCUUAAUUGGCAGAUCCUUACAGGUCAUGGCAGGACUGCCAGUGAAUGAAACUCCCAUCGAGUGCUCUUUGAUGGUACCAGUGAUUCUCGGUUCCUCGACAUGGAUGGUAUCACAGGUAGUGGCAUUGCUGGUGUGGAGUCCAGUACUGGUGGAGCCUUACCCCUGUGUGCCUCUUUAUCAUGGCUCUGAGGCUUAAUAUGUCCUAAGUCCUUGGACACUGGGCAGUUUUGUAUGCAAGAAGUCAAGGGCAACAAAUAGAAAAGGAUCAGCUCUUGUUUUUCCCUCUCAACUUUAAGCCUAGCUGUGAAAGGUAAGCAGAAAAAUUAGUACCAUUAACUAACUGAUACACUCCUACUAAAGGAAGGGGUUGAGUAAAGUUUCCCCUGAAGUCCAAAGAGUAGUGACCUCAACCAUGUUUUCAAUAUAAAUCCCCUUCGCACCACCCACAAGAUCUUUGCUGCAAACUCCCCCGUCCCUUUAAUUUAGCCUUAGUACUCCUACCUAUACAUCCAGAAAUUUUAAAGCUCACAGAUAAAAGGGAAAAUUUAUUUUGGACCCACUGGUUUGCAGCUCUACUGCUGGAAAAACUAAGGGAAGGUAACAUUAAUGUAGGGAAUCAAAUGGCAAAGAAAACAGAUAUUUGACUAAAAGAUCACCUGGUGGUAAAGACUAAAUUUCUUUCCUGCUGCUUUCAGGAUUUCAUCCUGAAACCCUUCCUCAGGGGUGUAGUCCUUAAUUACAGAUUUAUGGGACUACUCACCAUUAAAUUAAAUGGAGUGUACGCAUAAAUAAGUAAUCCCUGCUUCUUGGAUUAUUUUGAAUGCAAGAUUACUCUGUCAAAUGUUUCUCAGCUGUAAAAUGCAUGUUGGCAGGGAUCUUGAAUUACUCUAGUAAAUCUGUACACAUGGUGUUUUAUCUUUUACAUUGCUUUUCUAUUGAUUCACUGCUACCAAGAAUACUAAGAUCGAUGCAGAUAGUCUGUUUAAAAAAUAAAAUAAAAUCAAUUUUGUAAAUUCCUGA